AUUGAACGCUGGCGGCAGGCCUAACACAUGCAAGUCGAGCGGAUGAGAGGAGCUUGCUUCUCGAUUCAGCGGCGGACGGGUGAGUAAUGCCUAGGAAUCUGCCUGGUAGUGGGGGACAACGUUUCGAAAGGAACGCUAAUACCGCAUACGUCCUACGGGAGAAAGCAGGGGACCUUCGGCCUUGCGCUAUCAGAUGAGCCUAGGUCGGAUUAGCUAGUUGGUGAGGUAAUGGCUCACCAAGGCGACGAUCCGUAACUGGUCUGAGAGGAUGAUCAGUCACACUGGAACUGAGACACGGUCCAGACUCCUACGGGAGGCAGCAGUGGGGAAUAUUGGACAAUGGGCGAAGGCCUGAUCCAGCCAUGCCGCGUGUGUGAAGAAGGUCUUCGGAUUGUAAAGCACUUUAAGUUGGGAGGAAGGGUUGUAGAUUAAUACUCUGCAAUUUUGACGUUACCGACAGAAUAAGCACCGGCUAACUCUGUGCCAGCCGCCGCAGUAAUAC
rnacentral:rRNA from 1 species